UACGGGGGGGGGGCAAGCGUUUGUUCGGAAUUACUGGGCGUAAAGGGCUCGUAGGUGGCCAACUAAGUCAGACGUGAAAUCCCUCAGCUUAACUGGGGAACUGCGUCUGAUACUGGAUGGCUUGAGUUUGGGAGAGGGAUGCGGAAUUCCAGGUGUAGCGGUGAAAUGCGUAGAUAUCUGGAGGAACACCGAUGGCGAAGGCGGCAUCCUGGACCAACACUGACACUGAGGAGCGAAAGCCAGGGGAGCAAACGGG
rnacentral:rRNA from 1 species